AUUGAACGCUGGCGGCAGGCCUAACACAUGCAAGUCGAGCGGAGCGGCGGACGGGUGAGUAAUGCCUAGGAAUCUGCCUGGUCGUGGGGGAUAACGUCCGGAAACGGGCGCUAAUACAGCAUACUAGCAGAUGAGCCUAGGUGGGAGUAGCUAGUUGGUGGGGUAAAGGCCUACCAAGGCGACGAUGCGGAACUGGUCUGAGAGGAUGAUCAGUCAAACUGGAACUGAGAAACGGUCCAGACUCCUACGGGAGGCAGCAGUGGGGAAUAUUGGACAAUGGGCGCAAGCCUGAUCUAGCCAGGCCGCGUGUAUGAAGAAGGUCUUCGGAUUGUAAAGCACUUUAAGUUGGGAGGCGUUACUAACAGAAUAAGCACCGGCUAACUCCGUGCCAGCAGCCGCGGUAAUUC
rnacentral:rRNA from 1 species